rnacentral:rRNA from 1 species
AUUGAACGCUGGCGGCAGGCCUAACACAUGCAAGUCGAGCGGAUGAAGGGAGCUUGCUCCUGGAUUCAGCGGCGGACGGGUGAGUAAUGCCUAGGAAUCUGCCUGGUAUUGGGGGAUAACGUCAGGAAACGGGCGCUAAUACCGCAUACGUCCUGAGGGAGAAAGUGGGGGAUCUUCGGACCUCACGCUAUCAGAUGAGCCUAGGUCGGAUUAGCUAGUUGGUGGGGUAAAGGCCUACCAAGGCGACGAUCCGUAACUGGUCUGAGAGGAUGAUCAGUCACACUGGAACUGAGACACGGUCCAGACUCCUACGGGAGGCAGCAGUGGGGAAUAUUGGACAAUGGGCGAAAGCCUGAUCCAGCCAUGCCGCGUGUGUGAAGAAGGUCUUCGGAUUGUAAAGCACUUUAAGUUGGGAGGAAGGGCAGUAAGUUAAUACCUUGCUGUUUUGACGUUACCAACAGAAUAAGCACCGGCUAACUUCGUG